UCUGGUUCAGGAUGAACGCUAGCGGCAGGCCUAAUACAUGCAAGGUCGAACGGGAGGCCCCUUCGGGGGGUCGAGAGUGGCGGACGGGUGCGUAACGCGUAUGCAACCAGCCCCAUCCCGCCGGAUAGCCGCUGGAAACGGCGGGUAAUACGGCAUGGUUCCCCAUGGGGGCAUCCCCAUGGGGGCAAAGGGCGACCGGGACGGGACGGGCAUGCGUGCCAUUAGAUGGUCGGCGGGGCGACGGCCCACCGAGUCUGCGAUGGCUAGGGGAUCUGAGAGGACGGUCCCCCACACUGGUACUGAGACACGGACCAGACUCCUGCGGGAGGCAGCAGUAAGGGAUAUUGGGCAAUGGGGGCAACCCUGACCCAGCCAUGCCCGCGUGAGGGAAUGAGGCCCCAGUGGUCGUGAACCUCUUUUGUGCAGGGACAAGGACGGGGUCGGGCACCCCGUUUGAGGGUACUGCAGGAAUAAGCGUCGGCUAACUCCGUGCCAGCCGCGGC
rnacentral:rRNA from 1 species